rnacentral:rRNA from 1 species
CUGCAACUCGCCUGCAUGAAGCUGGAAUUGCUAGUAAUCGCGGAUCAGCAAGCCGCGGUGAAUACGUUCCCGGGCCUUGUACACACCGCCCGUCACACCAUGAGAGUCGGGAACACCCGAAGUCCGUAGUCUAACCGCAAGGGGGCGCGGCCGAAGGUGGGUCCGGUAAUUGGGUGAAGUCGUAACAAGGUAUC